rnacentral:rRNA from 1 species
CAGCCGUAAACUAUGCGCGUUAGGUGUAUCGGUGACCACGAGUUACCGAGGUGCCGAAGGGAAACCGUGAAACGUGCCGCCUGGGAAGUACGGUCGCAAGGCUGAAACUUAAAGGAAUUGGCGGGGGGAGCACCACAACAGGUGGAGCCUGCGGUUUAAUUGGACUCAACGCCGGGAAGCUCACCGGAUAGGACAGCAGAAUGAUUGCCGGGCUGAAGACCCUGCAUGACUAGCUGAGAGGAGGUGCAUGGCGUAGUCGUGU